rnacentral:rRNA from 1 species
UACGGAGGGUGCAAGCGUUAUCCGGAUUUACUGGGUGUAAAGGGAGCGUAGACGGCCAGACAAGUCUGAAGUGAAAAUCCAGCGCUUAACGUUGGAGGUGCUUUGGAAACUGCCGGGCUGGAGUGCAGGAGGGGCAGGCGGAAUUCCUAGUGUAGCGGUGAAAUGCGUAGAUAUUAGGAGGGACACCAGUGGCGAAGGCGGCCUGCUGGACUGCAACUGACGUUGAGGCUCGAAGGCGUGGGGAGCAAACAGG